AACGAACGCUGGCGGCAUGCCUAACACAUGCAAGUCGAACGAGACCUUCGGGUCUAGUGGCGCACGGGUGCGUAACGCGUGGGAACCUGCCCUUAGGUUCGGAAUAACUCCCCGAAAGGGGUGCUAAUACCGGAUAAUGUCUUCGGACCAAAGAUUUAUCGCCUUUGGAUGGGCCCGCGUUGGAUUAGCUAGUUGGUAGGGUAAAAGCCUACCAAGGCGACGAUCCAUAGCUGGUCUGAGAGGAUGAUCAGCCACACUGGGACUGAGACACGGCCCAGACUCCUACGGGGGGCAGCAGGGGGGAAUAUUGGACAAUGGGCGAAAGCCUGAUCCAGCAAUGCCGGGUGAGUGAUGAAGGCCUUAGGGUUUUAAAGCUUUUUUACCCGGGAUGAUAAUGACAGUACCGGGAGAAUAAGCCCCGGCUAACUCCGU
rnacentral:rRNA from 1 species